UACGUAGGGGGCUAGCGUUGUCCGGAUUUAUUGGGCGUAAAGAGCGUGUAGGCGGCCAGGUAGGUCUGCUGUGAAAACUCGAGGCUCAACCUCGAGCUGUCGGUGGAAACCGUGUGGCUAGAGUCCGGAAGAGGAGAGUGGAAUUCCCGGUGUAGCGGUGAAAUGCGCAGAUAUCAGGAAGAACACCCGUGGCUAAGGCGGCUCUCUAGUACGGUACUGACGCUGAGACGCGAAAGCGUGGGGAGCGAACAGG
rnacentral:rRNA from 1 species